GAUGAACGCUGGCGGCGUGCCUAAUACAUGCAAGUCGAGCGAACAGAUAAGGAGCUUGCUCCUUUGACGUUAGCGGCGGACGGGUGAGUAACACGUGGGUAACCUACCUAUAAGACUGGGAUAACUUCGGGAAACCGGAGCUAAUACCGGAUAAUAUUUCGAACCGCAUGGUUCGAUAGUGAAAGAUGGUUUUGCUAUCACUUAUAGAUGGACCCGCGCCGUAUUAGCUAGUUGGUAAGGUAACGGCUUACCAAGGCGACGAUACGUAGCCGACCUGAGAGGGUGAUCGGCCACACUGGAACUGAGACACGGUCCAGACUCCUACGGGAGGCAGCAGUAGGGAAUCUUCAGCAAUGGGCGAAAGCCUGACGGAGCAACGACGCGUGAGUGAUGAAGGGCUUCGGAUCGUAAAACUCUGUUAUUAGGGAAGAACAUACGUGUAAGUAACUGUGCACGUCUUGACGGUACCUAAUCAGAAAGCCACGGCUAACUACGUG
rnacentral:rRNA from 1 species